rnacentral:rRNA from 1 species
UACAACAUAGAUUUAAUGCAUCAAAUCCCAUUAGAACUCUGUAGUUAAGGGCACUCAAGCUAGAGUAGUAAUGGGAUGGGUGAUCGCCCGAGAAGUCCUAGUGUGUUAC